rnacentral:rRNA from 1 species
UAAGUAGGGGGCAAGCGUUGUCCGGAUUUAUUGGGCGUAAAGAGCGUGUAGGCGGCCAGGUAGGUCUGCUGUGAAAACUCGAGGCUUAACCUCGAGAUGUCGGCGGAAACCAUCUGGCUAGAGUCCGGAAGAGGAGAGUGGAAUUCCUGGUGUAGCGGUGAAAUGCGCAGAUAUCAGGAAGAACACCCGUGGCGAAGGCGGCUCUCUGGGACGGUACUGACGCUGAGACGCGAAAGCGUGGGGAGCGAACAGG